GGCUAGUCCAAAGGUAGUGAGUUAUCUCAAUUGCUUGUUCACAGUCAAUUACAGAUUGAACUCCUGUUCUAUGUUCCCCCCCACACACACACACACACACUACUACACUUGACUAGAGAU
rnacentral:Y_RNA from 1 species